rnacentral:rRNA from 1 species
UAGGGAAUCUUCCACAAUGGACGCAAGUCUGAUGGAGCAACGCCGCGUGAGUGAAGAAGGGUUUCGGCUCGUAAAGCUCUGUUGUUGGUGAAGAAGGACAGGGGUAGUAACUGACCUUUGUUUGACGGUAAUCAAUUAGAAAGUCACGGCUAACUACGUGCCAGCAGCCGCGGUAAUACGUAGGUGGCAAGCGUUGUCCGGAUUUAUUGGGCGUAAAGCGAGUGCAGGCGGCUCGAUAAGUCUGAUGUGAAAGCCUUCGGCUCAACCGGAGAAUUGCAUCAGAAACUGUCGAGCUUGAGUACAGAAGAGGAGAGUGGAACUCCAUGUGUAGCGGUGAAAUGCGUAGAUAUAUGGAAGAACACCGGUGGCGAAGGCGGCUCUCUGGUCUGUUACUGACGCUGAGGCUCGAAAGCAUGGGUAGCGAACAGGAUUAGAUACCCCCGUAGUCCCUGAGCGGGCUGGCAAGGCGCAU